GACGAAGGGGGCUAGCGUUGUUCGGAAUUACUGGGCGUAAAGCGCGUGUAGGCGGUUGUUCAAGUCAGGUGUGAAAGCCUUGAGCUCAACUCCAGAACUGCCUUUGAUACUGGAGAGCUUGAGUCCGGGAGAGGUGAGUGGAACUCCGAGUGUAGAGGUGAAAUUCGUAGAUAUUCGGAAGAACACCAGUGGCGAAGGCGGCUCACUGGCCCGGUACUGACGCUGAUGUGCGAAAGCGUGGGGAGCAAACAGG
rnacentral:rRNA from 1 species